rnacentral:rRNA from 1 species
GACGAACGCUGGCGGCGUGCUUAACACAUGCAAGUCGAACGGAAAGGCCUCUUUCGGGGGGUACUCGAGUGGCGAACGGGUGAGUAACACGUGAGUAACCUGCCCUUGACUUUGGGGUAACUUCAGGAAACUGGGGCUAAUACCGGAUAGGAGCUCCUGCUGCAUGGUGGGGGUUGGAAAGUUUCGGCGGUUGGGGAUGGACUCGCGGCUUAUCAGCUUGUUGGUGGGGUAGUGGCUUACCAAGGCUUUGACGGGUAGCCGGCCUGAGAGGGUGACCGGCAACAUUGGGACUGAGAUACGGCCCAGACUCCUACGGGAGGCAGCAGUGGGGAAUAUUGCACAAUGGGUGGAAGCCUGAUGCAGCAACGCCGGGGGCGGGAUGACGGCCUUCGGGUUGUAAACCGCUUUCGCUCAUGACGAAGCUUUGUGUGACGGUAGUGGGUAAAGAAGCACCGGCUAACUACGUG